GCUCACAACAUAGGGCGAGCAGAUUCCCGCUAACCGCUCUCGAGAGAAGGAGAGUGUGUAUCAGCUCCACUGAACUUGAAACACGGUCCAGAUCUCUACCGAGGCACCAGAAUGGGAAAUUUGGCCCAAUGGCCCAAGCCUAUCAGCCAUGCGCGCGUUGAAAGAAAGGUCCUCCGGGUUGUAAGUCCUUCAGUGGGGAGAAAGGCAGAUAAGGUUAUAAUCUCUCUAUCGAUGACGUUACCCCCGAAAAAAAGCCCCCGCGUAAUCCGUGCCACCAGCCGCGGUAAUACAGAGGGGGCAAGCGCUUAAUUGGAAUUUCUGGGCGUAAAGCGCGCGCAGGCGGUUGUCAAGUUCGAUGUGAAAUCCCCCGGGCUCAACCCUGGGAACUGCAUUCUAAACUGGCAAGCUAGAGUUUUGUAGAGAGGGGGUAGAAUUUCCCAGUGUAGCGGUGAAAAGCGUAGAGAUUGGAGGAACACCCGUGGCGAAGGCGGCCCCCCGGACUGAUACUGACGCUUAGGUGCGAAAGCGUGGGGAGCAAACCGGAUUAGAUACCCUGGUAGUCCCCGCCGUAAACGAUGUCGACUUGGAGGUUGUGGCCUUGAGGUGUUGGUUUCGGAGCUAACGCAUUAAGUUGACCGCCUGGGGAGUACGGCCGCAAGGUUAAAACUCAAAUGAAUUGACGGGGGCCCGCACAAGCGGUGGAGCAUGUGGUUUAAUUUGAAGCAACGCGAAGAACCUUACCCGGCCUUGACAUUCAACGAAUUUUCCAGAGAUGGGUUAGUGCCUUUGGGAACCUUGAGACCGGUGCUGCAAGGCUGUUGUCAACUUGUGUUGUGAAAUGUUGGGUUAAGUCCCGCAACGAGCGCAACCCUUUUCCUUUGUUUCCAGCGGGUAAUGUCGGGAACUCAAAGGAGACUGCCGGUGAUAAACCGGAGGAAGGUGGGGAUGACGUCAAGUCAUCAUGGCCCUUACGGCCAGGGCUACACACGUGCUACAAUGGCGCAUACAAAGAGAAGCGACCUCGCGAGAGCAAGCGGACCUCAUAAAGUGCGUCGUAGUCCGGAUCGGAGUCUGCAACUCGACUCCGUGAAGUCGGAAUCGCUAGUAAUCGUAGAUCAGAAUGCUACGGUGAAUACGUUCCCGGGCCUUGUACACACCGCCCGUCACACCAUGGGAGUGGGUUGCAAAAGAUGUUCUAGCUUAACCUUCGGGAGGGCGCUUACCACUUUGUGAUUCAUGACUGGGGGAAGUCGUAACCCAAGGUACCACACGGA
rnacentral:rRNA from 1 species